AGAGAUGGGGAGAUGCUAACCUACUACUGUGCUGCUGAAGAUUCCACAUUGUCACUGUUCUUUGUUUGGUCUCAGCUCUCUAUUUUAACUACCAGUGACAUUUAUGUCACAUGAAGAUUAGGCUUCUUUGCUUACUUUGGUCAGAGGUCAGAGAGAAAAUUUGUGUUGAGUAUCUUGUUGGGAAGGAAUCUUCAGAAGUACAGAAUUUGCUUUCUGAGAGAUAUGACUAAAGAAAGAUGGAAAAUAAAAAAGCUAAAAGAGAAGCUAUUAUUACUUUAGUAGUUGCAACAGUCUUCUGUGUAGUGAAAAGGUGGAAUACAAGGAAGAUCUCAAGAAAAAUGCAAGCUUUUCCAGAAGCUGGAGAAGUACUCCAAGGGACAGGCGAUCAGGACCUCUUUGGCAACACUUAUGGCAUUUUUUCUAUCCAUUCUUGGUUUGAGAGGUUGAAGCACAACAUGUUAGUUCAGCAGCCAUGCAGUGUAGGUCCUUGAAGUUUUCUCCUAUACCAGAGAUGAGAAAUAUAAAUACUGAAGUGCUCUUUAAUUGAUGGAAAAGAUCUCUCUCCACCUCAAGACUCAGAUGGAAACUAUUAGUUCAUAGGAUCAUAGUUAUCUGCAAUUAUUGUCCUGGGUAUGCAUCACAAAAGAAGAUAGCGAGGCAUCCUCUGCCCUAGCAAAAGGUUGAUUCAAAAAGUAUAGCAGGAAAUCUAGUAUACAGGGAUGUAUCCUAUACUGAGAGAAAAUUGCUUCCAGCAGUGUAGCAAAUGCUACUUCUCCAGCCAAAAUUAUGGUACGCUGGCAAAAAGCUGGAUUUUGCUGGUACAAUUUGUCUUGAACAAGUGUUUUCAGCAGUCUGGAAUGAUCUUAAAAAUGAUGCAUUAGUUGAUACUAUUAUAUUGACUGAAGUGUUGAGCCUGGUUUGAAAUUGCAGGAAAGCAAUUCAAACAUCAGAACAGUAUGACAAAUUGUCUCUGAUCUAUUUAUUCUAGUUGCCACUUGGACUUUAAUUAGGGAUAGACUAUUGCCUAUCUUCUACUAAAUCACAGAGACAAUGGCAUUGAAUCAUUCCAACAAUAUUUGUAUGCAAUGAAGUUGCAGAAAAUGUUACCGUGAGUGUGCCAAGAACCAUCAGAAGUCCUGUCUUCAAAAAUGUUGUCCUCAUUCAGACAGCAGCUGGGCCAUAGUGCUUUUAUUGACAAGUAGGAAAGCAAGCAACAAUGCUGUCUGUACCAGAACACUACGCACAUCUCACAGUCUUCUCUGCUGUAAAAGACUGAUUGGCAUAUAUGCAGCUACAACUGCAGAUAACUACAAAUGGAUGGAGGUGAUCUCUAACAGAUCCAAUACAAUGUAAACCUCCUCCAAUAGGGAGCAUCAUAUAUAGAUUUUUCUGGUGCCAAUUCAAGUUACUAUUUAGUUUAUAAAAUGAUCAUAGUAGUCACCUAUUGACUUGGAGCAAAAGACUUUCAGCUAAACAGAGACUAGCUGGGGUGCCAUGCUCUUUCUUGGAAAUUUUGCAACCUUAUCAUGUUGCCUACUUCAUUCAGUUUCUGUUCUAAGAAAACAAAAAGUAAUCUUCUAACACCCUUGAAAGGGACAUCUGUCUUUGGAGCGAGAGACAUUUCUUUUGUGCAUGGCUUUUCAGGUAGCUAGACCAGGUUGUAUUUUCCAGCAAAUAAUGCUUGUCACCAGCACAAUAGAUAUCAUGCUGAUAGUGUAGUUUCAAGAAAAUCUCUAAUAAGUAAGUAUUUGCUACCUCUUGCUGACAUUUAAGUAUCUGUUGAGUAUCUUCUGAUAUUUGCUUUGAACUAUGUAGGUAUCAAAUAUGGUUUUGGUUCAUGGAGUGUGCACAGUCUUUUAAGGGGAACCCAUAUGAAUUACAAUCUUGUCGGGUUCUAUAACUUUUUUUAUAGACUUGUGAAAAUCACCCAACUUGUUGUUCUUAGUGAAGUAGAGAUAUGUCAAGAGUUGAGCAGGAAAAUGUCAUUCCAUUUCAAGAAUGAUUUUACUAUUUAAUCAUUUAGUUUUGUUUCUAUUGGAAAUGAAGGCAGUUUCUAGAUCACUUGUGACACAGUACAUCUGGCAUGGAGAGCUGGAAGCAUGAGUUAGUAGAAGACGAUGAUUUUCUGUGAGAAAAUCACCUUUACAGCACUCAUAGGGUUGUGAGGUUGAUACUGUAGUAUAAGUUACAUUAUUGGUUUAUUUGUUCUUAAAAGUGUUUUACAUGUGCUAACCAAAUAUUUAGUUUGGCACUAUGCUGAGGCCAGUUAUGUGAAGGAAACCAUUUUCUGGAGCUUUGGUAAGUUGAAGUACAUGGAAAAAGAGAAGCUUCUGCUGGCAUAGACACCUCAGUACAAAUUAAUGCUUAUCCUGGGCACUCCAGUUAGUGCAAAUUGAUUGCUGUGGGGAAUUAAUGCCUGAGAUGAAACUAUGUACAUGUAGUGAAUUAAUGGUGUAUGUAUUGGCAUGUGAUGGAGCAGGUGUACUUACCCCGUUUUUUCCUAUGUACAUGGUUAGGGUCAUACAGGACAUGUUAACAGUGUCUCUCCAGGCUGGAGUCACACGAAGUGGUGGAAGCUGAGAGGGCAAGGACUACCCCUUCCCUCUGGGGAAGCGAACAGGGCAAAAUAAAUGGUGCGUUUGUUUCCCUAGUGUGCCAGUGACAUGGGCAGUUAAUGGCUACUGCCACCCUCCUCAUGCCUCGGCGGAGCAGCACACCAA